rnacentral:rRNA from 1 species
AUUGAACGCUGGCGGCAGGCCUAACACAUGCAAGUCGAACGGUAACACGAAGCAGCUUGCUGCUUCGCUGACGAGUGGCGUACGGGUGUGUAAAGUCUGGGAAACUGCCUGAUGGCGGGGGAUAACUACUGGAAACGGUAGCUCAUACCGCUUAACGUCGCAAGAGCAAAGAGGGGGACCUUAGGGCCUCUUGCUAUCUGUUGUGCCCAGAUGGGAUUAGCUAGUAGGUGGGGGAACGGCUCACCCAGGCGACGACACCUAGCUGGUCUGAGAGGAUGACCAGCCACACUGGAACUGAGACACGGUCCAGACUCCUACGGGAGGCAGAAGUGGGGAAUAUUGCACAAUGGGAGCAAGCCUGAUGCAGCCAUACCGCGUGUAUGAAGAAGGCCUUCGGGUUGUAAAGUACUAUCGGCGGGGAGGAAGAGGGUAAGGUUAAUACCUUAGCUCAUUGACGGUACCCGCAGAAGAAGCACCGGCUAACUCCGUG